GCUGCGGCCAUCUUUCCUUACACGUGGGGAGGAAUCAGCCUGACAAUGAAACCAUCACAGGAAAGGGCUGAAAGACGGUGAGUGUGUGCUUUCUAAGGGCAGCAUUUGGGCCUUGGCCCCAGCCGGCCCUGAAGCCAGCACAACCCCCGGAACGUCUCAAUUUGUGAGCCAAUAAAUGCCCUUGAUGGUUUAGGCAAGUUUUCACUGGGUCUUACCCCACGUGAGCCCCCACUCCUCCAUAUGGACCUGUUUUGGACCAAUGAGGCAUCCUCUUCUGUAGUCCUCAACACGCGGAGCUCCACCACUCCUGAGCAGUGUGACCUCAGGUGGGGUUGGGGAGAGGCCUCGGGAUGGCAAGGACCAGGGUCUGCUGCCAAGCCUGUGAGUCCUGUCUCCCUCUAGGAUGCCCCUGGGACACUGGUACCCAUGGAUGCACUGGGUGACUUGAGGUCAAUGGCUUUCUCUCUCCAGACCUAGGCAGAAAAAGCAAUCUGCUUUGCAUCAGAGAACCUCAAGAGGCUCUUAAUCCUGCUCUUUUCUCCCUCUGGGCUCCCUCCGUGAUGAGCUCAUCUGACCUCCUGGCAACCCCGAAGGGUGGUUUAGAGCAGGGAAUCAGCCUCCCGAUUUACAGAAAGGAUAACUCAGGCCAGGGAAGCGACUUGGACAGGGUCCUGCAGGGACUCAGUGAAGGAGGCUUCGGAACCCAGCCUGUCUUCCAGCAGACCAGGAAUCAGCAAAUCUGGCUACCUGUUUUUUUAUUUUUAUUUAUUUAUUUAUUUUGAGACAAAGUCUCGCUCUUGUCAUCCAGGCUGGAGUGCAAUGGCAUGAUCUCGGCUCACUGCAACCUCCGCCUCUGGGGUUCAAGCGAUUCUCCUGCCUCAGCCUCCUGAGUA
rnacentral:lncRNA from 1 species